ACCCAGAGAUGGGAAUCGUACUCAUAGUGUUACACUUACCGGACAGAUGCCAUGUCCACUAGGCUACUCUGGA